rnacentral:rRNA from 1 species
UACGGAGGGUGCAAGCGUUAUCCGGAUUUACUGGGUUUAAAGGGUGCGUAGGUGGGUUUGUAAGUCAGCGGUGAAAUCUCUAGGCUUAACCUGGAAAUUGCCAUUGAUACUAUAGAUCUUGAAUUAUCUGGAGGUGAGCGGAAUAUGUCAUGUAGCGGUGAAAUGCUUAGAUAUGACAUAGAACACCAAUUGCGAAGGCAGCUCACUACGGAUAUAUUGACACUGAGGUACGAAAGCGUGGGGAGCGAACAGG